UACAGAGGGGGCAAGCGUUGUUCGGAAUUACUGGGCGUAAAGGGCGCGUAGGCGGCCUUCUAAGUCAGACGUGAAAUCCCCCGGCUUAACCUGGGAACUGCGUCUGAUACUGGGAGGCUUGAGUAUGGGAGAGGGAAGCGGAAUUUCUGGUGUAGCAGUGAAAUGCGUAGAUAUCAGAAGGAACAUCAGUGGCGAAGGCGGCUUCCUGGACCAAUACUGACGAUCAGGUGCGAAAGCGUGGGGAGCAAACAGG
rnacentral:rRNA from 1 species